rnacentral:rRNA from 1 species
UUUACUAGAGAAUAGCCAAGAGAAAUUUUGAUUAAUGCUCUAUGUUCUUAUUUACUCGCAUGAGUAAAUAAGCAAAGCUCCGGCGGUAAAAGAUGGGCAUGCGUCCUAUUAGCUUGUAGGUGAGGUAAUGGCUCACCUAAGCUCCGAUAGGUAGGGGUCCUGAGAGGGAGAUCCCCCACACUGGUACUGAGACACGGACCAGACUUCUACGGAAGGCAGCAGUAAGGAAUAUUGGACAAUGGAGGCAACUCUGAUCCAGCCAUGCCGCGUGAAGGAAGACGGCCUUAUGGGUUGUAAACUUCUUUUAUACAGGAAGAAACC